rnacentral:rRNA from 1 species
CCUGCCCACUGAUUUAUUAAAUGGCCGCAGUAAUUUGACUGUGCAAAGGUAGCAUAAUCAUUAGUUUUUUAAUUAAAAGCUUGUAUGAAGGGUUGGACGAAAUAGAUUCUGUCUCAAUAUAAUUUAUUUUAGAAUUUAAUUUUUAAGUUAAAAAGCUUAAAUUUUUAUAAAAGACGAGAAGACCCUAUAGAUCUUUAUAUUAUUAUUGAUAAUUUUAAUUAAGAAUAUUUAAUUUUUUAUUUAUAGUAUUAUUUUAUUGGGGUAAUAAAAAGAUUAAAAGAAUUCUUUUUGUAUUUAAUAUUAAUUAAUAAAUUUAUGAUCCAAUUAUUUUGAUUAAAAGAUUAAGUUACCUUAGGGAUAACAGCGUAAUUUUUUUUGAGAGUUCAUAUCGAUAAAAAAGUUUGCGACCUCGAUGUUGGAUUAAAAGUUAUUU